rnacentral:rRNA from 1 species
AACGCGAAGAACCUUACCUACGCUUGACAUACCUCUUAGGACUUUCAGAGAUGAAGGUUUUCGGUUCGGCCGGGGAGGAUACAGGUGCUGCAUGGCUGUCGUCAGCUCGUGUCGUGAGAUGUUGGGUUAAGUCCCGCAACGAGCGCAACCCUUAUCGUAUGUUGCCAUCAUUAAGUUGGGCACUCGUGCGAGACUGCCGGUGACAAGCCGGAGGAAGGCGGGGACGACGUCAAGUCAUCAUGGCCCUUACGCGUAGGGCUAGAAACGUGCUACAAUGGCGGUGACAGUGGGCAGCGAGGCAGCGAUGCCAAGCAAAUCCCUAAAAGCCGUCUCAGUUCGGAUUGUACUCUGCAACUCGAGUGCAUGAAGCUGGAAUCGCUAGUAAUCGUGGAUCAGCAUGCCACGGUGAAUACGUUCCCGGGCCUUGUACACACCGCGAGC